UACAGAGGGUGCGAGCGUUAAUCGGAAUCACUGGGCGUAAAGGGUGCGUAGGUGGUCAAAUAAGUCAGAUGUGAAAUCCCUGGGCUCAACCUAGGCAUUGCAUUUGGUACUGUUUGGCUAGAGUGUGGUAGGGGAUACUGGAAUUCCUGGUGUAGCGGUGAAAUGCGUAGAUAUCAGGAGGAAUACCUAUGGCGAAAGCAGGUAUCUGGGCCAUCACUGACGCUGAGCUGCGAAAGCUAGGGGAGCAAACAGG
rnacentral:rRNA from 1 species